UCUGUGAUACAUCCUUUGAGUUAGUAAGAAUGUUAAUUCAUAUUUUCAAGAGUUGAAAAUUUAAGGCAUGAAUUUACAUAACUAACUCAUAAACAGCUCCUGACCAUAGGAUCAUCACGAGGAUGGUGAUCGAUCUGGAAGGUUGGUGUAUGAUCGCUUCCUUAGGGUAGAUGAGUCUUGAAUCUACGGUGUGGAGAUAUC
rnacentral:lncRNA from 1 species